UACAGAGGUAUACACGAUUUGUUUGUAUUAGGGGUAUUCAGACCAGCCUUGUUAAUUCGUUAGUCGUUAUUCGGUAGUUUUUGACACGUAUUUUGUUUUUGUAAAAUUAACAGACUAUCGUUCUACCGAGUAACGAACUAUCCAUCUGGCAAGCUUGGUAAUUGUUUCGUUACUCGGUAAUAUCACAUCAGCUGUUUAUUUGUUAUUCGUUGCUUUAUAUAUUUUUAAACGGGAAAAAUUAAUUUGGUGCUCACUUCGUGAAUUUGGAAAAAUUUUGCAAAAUGGAACCUCAAAAGAAAAUACGCAGGAGGGCAAAGCCUACAAAAAAUGGAGGGAGGAGGAAAACCAUUUGGUUCUAGAAUAUUUACUAGAAAAUGUGGAAAUUGAGAAACCAAACGCCCAAUUGUACUACCAAAAAUUAAUUGAAACAACAAAUAUCGAUGCGACUACGGACAUGUUGCGCUGCAAGGUCCUGUACUGUAAGCAGAUGUAUAAUAAAGCUGAGGGGUGGCGCAAAUCGACAGCAAAACUUUCACAAAUGCGUUCGAAUUAUGAACGGUUGUCGAUUCUAUUUAGGAGUAAGCCGAAGCCAAUUGUGUUAUAGACGUGCAACUCUGAAGUGUCACAUACUGCAGCGAUUUUGCAGACCUUGUAGAGGUAGUGGAAAAUGCAGCCGAAUUAUCACAAUCAUCUGCGGAACCAUCGGGUUCACUUAACGACAAAGCAGAACAGACAACAGUAGGAGCAGAGGUAGCAACAGUUCCUCCUACCACUUCGUCGUUCCUCGAAAAAGUGAAAAAACGUCCUCCAAAGAAUAUUCUUAGUGAACUUAAAGAUAUACAAAAGAAAACAGAACAUUUUUUUGAGCCACGAAUAGAAAUUGAAAAAGAAAAGUUAAAUAAAGAUUUUGAAAUAAAAAAAUUGGAGUUAGAGCAAAAAGAAAGACUGGCAAUGAUUGAACUA